GCCCAAGCUGCCUUGGACUAGAAAAAUGACUCAUUUUGACUUUUUGGAUUUCCUCAUUAAGAUCUGGUGGGGUGUCAACAUACACCCUGGGCUUCGGGAAGAGCACGCUCACAACUUGGAAGAAGAUACCAACCUACCCAGCAAGAACCCAUGAUUAAUAGGCAUCUAGGCAGAAAGAAGCACUACUCACAAAGGCUUUCUCUUCUCUCCAUGAAAAUAAAGAAACUACAAACAGCACUGAUCUAAGAAGACAAGCAAAUCAUACCUGACUAACUCAUCCUGCAUUAAGGCAUUUGCUACCAGCUUGUCAAAUGCUUUGCUGAAAUGGUGUUUUC